GUGACCCUAGCGCGGUGACUUCUGGGAAAUGUAGUCCACCCGGAAUAACCAUGUCCACGGCGCCCGCCAUUCUGUAGCCUAUGCUCGGAGGGCACAUGAGCAAGAGCUUGACCAUCUGUACCGUUGGUUGACUUGCUCUAUUAAGGGCUAUGAUUUCAGGUCGUCCUGCGUGUUUAGAGGAGGCGAGUGGAAUCUUGAGUCUCGGCUGGAGAAGGCAGAGCACGGGCAUGCAGACCUCAAAGCCUCAAACCUGCGUGUGAGAGGAGAAGUUGGCGAGCUCCAGCGUAUGGUCCACGGUUGGUAUUCUAGGAAGAUACAAGACAACAGCUUCUGCGAACCAGUAAGAGUGGCCUCAUUAGACAUUGGAUUUGCCAGUGACUUGAUCAUGGACUUCCCAGUCUCCAGGACUGUGAGUUAUAAAGGUCUUUCACCAUAUUUGCUGUCCUUGGGCAAGAUCAGAGUCAUCUUUGGAAGGAAAAGCAUCUCUGGAUUUUGUUAAAUACCAUCUUAGGAAAGUACUCUCUGCUCUUCAAAGUCAGCGACGACAUGAGUCACUGUUACAGAACCCACAGAAUGUGUCCCUUAAAAUACUGAGAAUGAACACUAUUUUACUGCCUGCAUAAUUAGCACUAGACAGGUGAAUUUAUUACUACUUCAUUAAAUAGAUGAGUUUAUUAACUCAGUGAAGACUUGUGGGAACCUUACUAAAAGAGAUGCAAUUCCCCAGCCUCAAGAUGCUCACAGUCUAGUGAUGAGGAAGCUGGCAAUUCCACUAUACAUGGCUAAAUGCCAGAGUAGUGCACAGCAUCCUUUAGCGGCAUGAGGAAUGGGCUCAUAAGCCCACAGUGGAAUGCAGGGGUUCUACACAAACGUAGCUUAAUCUGAGCCCUGGAGGGUGACUGAGCUCUAUUAGCCAGAGAAUCCAAAUCACUAUAAAACUCCCAGAGAACAAAUGUCAUGAUGUGAAGACAAAUAACAGGCAGAAAGAGAUGGGCAGGAAGGCAGAAUUCAAACCAUGAUGACGUUCAAGUCACAAAAUUAUCUGCAAGUCAGCAGGAGAACACUGAAGGACUUCUGGAAAGGAGAGUAAAAAGAUUCCUUUCAUGUUAGAAACAGAUUACCCUCUCAAACGGGAGGAGGCUUGAGGGGGAGGAGGCUAGGGCCAGAGAGACUAUUAGGAGAGCCACACUAAGAAACUCUUUCUUCUUUAUUCAAAUGUCACCACCUCAGAGUCUCUCUCUAGCCAUCCUGUAGAUAAUUUCGGUCUCCUAACUGCACCCCAACACUUCCUAUCCCUCAUCUCUGCUUACUUCUUUUCUCUAAGCCCUUAUUCCUCUCUAACAUCCUUCUAGGUAUUUACUUACUUAUAUUCAUUACACUUGUCUAAUGUGGAGUUUCGUUACCUGCUCCAUCCCCAACACCUACUAAGUUGCUACAAGCAUUUGGAAGGAACCCAAAGAUUUGCAGAAUGACUACUUUAAUGACUCAGUGAAUAGUUGAUAGAUACACCAUGUGGAUCAGGGCCUCAUUAUUUAUCACCUGAACCAUUCAUUCAACAUAUGAUUGUUGAAGGGUCUACUCUGUGCCAGCCAAGGGUCCUAGAUGUGAAAUAUACAGCAGUGAACAAAGACCUUGAUCUCACAAAGAUGAUAUUAUAAUGGGCUACGAGGGCAUAGCAAACCCCCAAUAUAUAGCGAGAGACACUUUUAAGAACAAUAGGGCAGGGUAAAGAAAUAAAGAGAUGAAAGGAGGGGCUGUCACAGAAUAAGUUUUUGUCAUGAAAGAUUUCUCUUAUAUUUGAACAGAGACCUCAAAUAUAGGAAGAGAAAGCCAUGUAGAGAUCUGAUAUCUGAAGGCAUGUAAUUCAGCCCUGAAGAACAUAGAAAAUUUUUUUUUGUUAAAAAGCCAUAGGUCUGGUAUUUAGCAAAGACAUGGAAUCAACCUAAAUGCCCGUCGAUAGCAGUCUGGAUAAAGAAAAUGUGGUGCAUAUACACCAUGGAAUACUAGGCGGCCAUAAAAAAGAUGUCCUGGCUGGGCGCGGUGGCUCAUGCCUGUAAUCCCAGCACUUUGGGAGAGUGAGGCAGGCGGAUCACCUGAGGUUAGGAGUUCGAGAACAGCCUAACCAACAUGGAGAAACCCUGUCUCUACUUAAAAAAAAAAAUACAAAAUUAGCCAGGCAUGAUGGCGAAUGCCUGUAAUCCCAGCUACUCAGGAGGAUGAGGCAGGAGAAUUGCUUGAACCUGGGAGGUCAAGCUUGUGGUGAGCCAAGAUCGCACCAUUGCACUCCAGUCUGGGCAACAAGAGCGAAACUCUGUCUCAAAAAAAAAAAAAAAAAAAAGAUGUCCUUUGCAGGAAGAUGGAUGGAGCUGGAGGACAUUAUUCUUAGUAAACUAAUACAGGAACAGAAAACCAAAUACCGCAUGUUCUAACUCAUCAGUGGGAGCUAAAUGAUGAGAAUACAUGGACACACAGAGGGGAACAACAGACACUGGGGUCUCCAUCAGAGGGUGGAGGGUGGGAGGAGGGAGAGGACCAGAAAAAAUAACUCAUGGGUACUAGGCUUAAUACCUGGGUGACAAAAUAAUCUGUACAACAAACCCCCAUGACACAAGUUUACCUGUAUAACAAACCUGCACGUGUACUUCUGCAGUUACAGAAGAUCAAGGAUGGGACUAAGAACCUAUUUCUACCAAUAUCCCAGGUGAUGCUAAUGCUGCUGGUCCCUAAAUUACAAUUUGAUAGCAUCAGUUAAAACAGCUCUCUAGAUAUUUUCAGACAGACUAACACUUGAGGUUUUCACCUCCAAUUUUUCUACUAACCCCAAUAUACUAUCCUAUUGCCUAAGGGCAAAAAGAACUAAAGAAGGUAAAAACAAACUGCAAGCUUCUCUUUCUCUCUGAUACUAACAAACAGGAAUGAAGGUUUGUUAGGAUCAGGAGUGCCAAGAUCAACUCUAUGCUCCUAACAUUAACCACGAAAAAACCCAGGCCACUCAUAAAAUACUCCCUAUAAUGACAGCAACUGACAUUUAGAGCAACUGACUGGCUGCCUACCAAGGCACUGUUUACAUAAAUUCUUCACAUGUAGUAUCUCAUUUGAUUUUCAUAACGAUGAUAGAGAUUGAGAAAAUAAUUAUGCCCAUUUUACAGACAAGGAAAUAGAGGCACACAGAAGUAACUUGUUCAUGUUUAACAAGUGGUCAACAGAAAAGUCAGGAUUUUCACCCAGUGCCUUAUCUACUAGAACACUGGCUGCGCCAGGCAAUGAACCCAGGCAAUCUGACACCUGUGCCCAUGUUCUUAACCGCUCGACAGUGGUUCUCAAACCCUGGUAUGCAUCCAUAUCAAAAGGCCUGAGGUUCCAUGUGCUGCCUUGAUACCUUUGAGACUCACAGGGCCCUGAAGGCCUAGCCAUGAGCUCCCGGCUCUCUCCAGAUAUGCCCUCUCAGUGGGAAAGGAUCCCUGCCCGCCUAGUUCCUCGUGUGUUAACCAUGUUUUAUGUACUGGCUAUUUGAUAUCUGCUAUUCCUAAUCUCUCCCUAAGUCUGCUGAAUCACAGGGCCAGACUAACAACCAAAAUUAUGUGCAUCUUCCCUGCAAGCAGCUUUCACCGGUGGGAGAAAGACAUAUUACAAAAGCAUAGGCCCCAGUUCCUUUCUCUGUCUGCUUCCUGACCCUUGCCUGUAGUGGGCUUCAUGUGGUCUGGUGUGGUGUGAUGUACCAGUGGAACUCUAAGUAUUAAAAUACUAUUCAUUGGCAUUAAUCUCUCCAUGUUGUCACUCAGCCGCUUUUAUAAAAUUAAGACUUAGGCACAAUUCAUCCUAUUUAGCCAGACCACCUGUACCCCACCAGGUCCUCCACAUAACAGGUUUUGCCUCCCUGCCAGCCUGUAGAAUUAUCCAAAUGGUCAAUUAAAUCUUCUUGCAGGAACCAAGGGUCACCCUGCUACCCUCCUGUCACUACAAAAUCAACCUACCAUGGCCCCUGUUGGUUCAAUCUAUUCUCAAGUGCAAGUCCCCUGGGCUGUGAAUAUGUGACUAAUAAACUGCUACCAACCUCUUCUGCAUAGGCUGACUGUAGGGUUUGUGUGUUCAGCCACCUCCUGCCAGUUCAAGUGAUGUCUUAGUCCAUUUUUGCUGCUAUAACAAAAUACCACAGUUAUAAAGAACAGAAAUUUCUCACAGUUCUGAAGGAUGGGAAGUCUAAGAUCAAGGCUCCAGCAGGUUGUGGGUCUGGUAAGGGCCUUUUUGCUGUGUUCUCACGUGGCAGAAGGGUAGGGGAAAAGGGGGAUGGAGGAAUGCUGUGUCUUCAUAGUCUUCAUAUGGCAGAAGAACAAGGGAGGUGAACUCUCUCUCUGAAGCCUCUUUUAUAAGAGCAUUAACUCCUUCAUGCCCUCAUGACUUAAUCACUUCCCAAAGGCCUCACCUCUUAAUAACACCACAAUGGGGAUUAAGUUUCAAUGUUUGGGGGACACUCAGACAGCAGCAGGUGGGGGAAUCCCUCCUUCACCAAUGGGGUGAAUAGGUGACCAGAACCCCCGAAUUACUAAUAAAGAACACAGAAGUUCAAGCUCAUAGAAGUAGUGUAGGGCCUGGGUCUUAUGAUUCUGAUGUGACCACAGUUCAAGAACCACUGCAUUAUUCUACACUGCCUCUUAAAGAGUUGACGGAACUGUCCAAGGGCACCCAGGAAACCAGGGGCAUGGCUCUGCCUGGCACUCAGGCCUACUGAUUAUCAGCUCCCUGCUCCUCUCCAGUAUAAGAUGCCCCUAGAGCUCUCUAUAAGAGGAAAGGGCUGCAGAAUGACUGGUAAUGCCUCUGGAGGCAAAUUCUCAGAAUGAAAGGGGAGGCUUCCCUUAGAUCAGUGCUGUCCAACAGAAAUAUAAUGCAGGCAAGCUAUUCGUGUAAUUUAAAUUUUUCUCAUAGCUACACUGAAAAAGGUAAGAUGAAGCAAGUGAACUUAAUUUCAACAAUAUAUUUUCUUUAACCCAACAUAUCCAAAGUAUUAUCCCCUCAACUUGUAAUCAGUAUAAGAAUUAUUGAGGGAUUUUACUUUCUUUUUUUCAUACUAGAUCUUUGAAAUCUGUUGUGCCUUACCAUUAUAACAUAUCUCAAUUCAGACUAGUUACGUUUCAGGUGCUCAAUAAUCACAUGCGGCUAAUGGCUACACUAUUGGAUAGUGCAGGUUUAGACCUUUUUAUUAAGGCAAUAUAGACUAUAUAAUCAUCUCACAGGGACUUGCUAAGUUCAAAAGACAGCAAAUUAGUUGUAGGUUUCAACAAUCACUAUCAUAGAAACUAUGCACAUUUGUUUAAAUAUGUAACAGAAUUAAAGUAUCCAUAGAAAAAGUGGAAAGUGGGGAAGAAAAGAAUACUUAAAAAUAUACCUUUGAGGCUGGGCACGGUGGCUCACGCAUGUAAUCCCAGCACUUUGGGAGGCCCAGGCGGGUGGAUCACGAGGUCAGGAAUUCAAGACCAGCCUAGCCAAGAUGGUGAAACCCCGUCUCUAUUAAAAAUACAAAAAAAUUAGCUGGG
rnacentral:lncRNA from 10 species